UGACUGACAAAGAGAAGUUGGCCAUCAGUGGCCUGUGGGACAUGGUAGACAUGGGAAACAUUGAUGGCGAGUCACUUCUCUACCCACCUGAAACACCUGGCCAUCCUCAAGGGCAUCUUUUCUGGCAUGAAUGAAGCUGCACUGUGACAAGCUGCAUGUAGAUCCUGAGAACUUCAGGUUCUUGGGAAACAUAAUAGCAUUUGUGCUGUUCCUCCAUUUUGGCAAGGAAUUCACCCCAGCAGUGCAGGUUGCUUUUCAGGUGUUGGUGGCUUCUGUAACCAUGGAUCUAGCUCACAAGUAC
rnacentral:lncRNA from 1 species